rnacentral:tRNA from 1 species
CCAGUUAUCGUCUAGUGGUUAGGACACCAGGUUCUGAUCCUGGUAACUUUGGUUUGAAUCCGAGUAACUGGU